rnacentral:rRNA from 1 species
CCGAGUUGUAAUUUGCAGAGGGCGCUUUGGCUUUGGCAGCGGUCCAAGUUCCUUGGAACAGGACGUCACAGAGGGUGAGAAUCCCGUACGUGGUCGCUAGCUAUUGCCGUGUAAAGCCCCUUCGACGAGUCGAGUUGUUUGGGAAUGCAGCUCUAAAUGGGAGGUAAAUUUCUUCUAAAGCUAAAUAUUGGCCAGAGACCGAUAGCGCACAAGUAGAGUGAUCGAAAGAUGAAAAGCACUUUGGAAAGAGAGUCAAACAGCACGUGAAAUUGUUGAAAGGGAAGCGCUUGCAGCCAGACUUGCUUGCAGUUGCUCAUCCGGGCUUUUGCCCGGUGCACUCUUCUGCAGGCAGGCCAGCAUCAGUUUGGGCGGUGGGAUAAAGGUCUCUGUCACGUACCUCUCUUCGGGGAGGCCUUAUAGGGGAGACGACAUACCACCAGCCUAGACUGAGGUCCGCGCAUCUGCUAGGAUGCUGGCGUAAUGGCUGUAAGCGGCCCGUCUUGAAACACGGACCAAGGAGUCUAACAUCUAUGCGAGUGUUUGGGUGUCAAGCCCGAGCGCGUAAUGAAAGUGAACGGAGGUGGGAACCCGCAAGGGUGCACCAUCGACCGAUCCUGAAGUUUACGGAAGGAUUUGAGUAAGAGCAUGGCUGUUGGGACCCGAAAGAUGGUGAACUAUGCUUGAAUAGGGUGAAGCCAGAGGAAACUCUGGUGGAGGCUCGCAGCGGUUCUGACGUGCAAAUCGAUCGUCAAAUUUGGGCAUAGGGGCGAAAGACUAAUCGAACUAUCUAGUAGCUGGUUCCUGCCGAAGUUUCCCUCAGGAUAGCAGUAACGUAUUCAGUUUUAUGAGGUAAAGCGAAUGAUUAGAGGCAUGGGGGUUGAAACAACCUUCACCUAUUCUCAAACUUUAAAUAUGUAAGAAGCCCUUUGUUACUUAAUUGAACGCGGGCAUUUGAAUGAAACGUUAUUAGUGGGCCAUUUUUGGUAAGCAGAACUGGCGAUGCGGGAUGAACCGAACGAGGGGUUACGGUGCCGGAGUACACGCUCAUCAGACACCACAAAAGGUGUUGGUUCAUCUAGACAGCAGGACGGUGGCCAUGGAAGUCGGAAUCCGCUAAGGAGUGUGUAACAACUCACCUGCCGAAUGAACUAGCCCUGAAAAUGGAUGGCGCUCAAGCGUGUCACCUAUACCCCUCCGCCGGGGCAAAAUUUACGCCCCGGCGAGUAGGCAGGCGUGGAGGCUCGUGACGAAGCCUUGGGGGUGACCCCAGGUCGAACGGCCUCUAGUG